rfam:Gossypium hirsutum cultivar TM-1 chromosome 26, whole genome shotgun sequence
AAUAAGAGAAUGACAAAUCAGAUUUUUCUUCCUGAUUUUUAACUUUUUUACUCUUGAAAAAAUUCAAAUCCAAUUAAAAAUGCUAAAAACUAGGAGAAAAAAUCUGAUUAGUCAUUUUCCUAUU